rnacentral:tRNA from 1 species
AAUGAAUUGCCUGACAAAAGGAUUACUUUGAUAGAGUAAAUUAUAUAAUUUUUGAAUUAUAUUCAUUA